rnacentral:rRNA from 1 species
AUGGUUAAGUGACGAAGCGUAUACGGUGGAUGCCUUGGCAGUUAGAGGCGAUGAAGGACGUGUAAGUCUGCGAAAAGCUGUGGUGAGCCGACAAAAUGCAUUUGAGCCACAGAUGUCCGAAUGGGGAAACCCACCUGUUUACAGGUAUCGUUACAUGAAUACAUAGCGUAACGAGGCGAACGAGGGGAACUGAAACAUCUAAGUACCCUUAGGAAAAGAAAUCAAACGAGAUUCCCCUAGUAGCGGCGAGCGAACGGGGAACAGCCCUUAAGCUGUUUAGUGUGUAGUGGAAUCCUUUGGGAAGAGGAGCGAUACAGGGUGAUAGCCCCGUACACAAAGCGUGCUUUACAGUGAAAUCGAGUAGGUCGGGACACGUGUUAUCUUGACUGAAUAUGGGGGGACCAUCCUCCAAGGCUAAAUACUCCUAACUGACCGAUAGUGAACCAGUACCGUGAGGGAAAGGCGAAAAGAACCCCUGUGAGGGGAGUGAAAUAGAACCUGAAACCGUAUACGUACAAGCAGUGGGAGCCCUUCGGGGUGACUGCGUACCUUUUGUAUAAUGGGUCAGCGACUUAUAUUUAGUAGCAAGGUUAAGCGAAUAGCGGAGCCGUAGCGAAAGCGAGUGUUAACUGCGCGUUUAGUUGCUAGGUAUAGACCCGAAACCCGGUGAUCUAGCCAUGAGCAGGUUGAAGGUUGAGUAACAUCAACUGGAGGACCGAACCCACUGACGUUGAAAAGUCAGGGGAUGACUUGUGGCUGGGGGUGAAAGGCCAAUCAAACCGGGAGAUAGCUGGUUCUCCCCGAAAUCUAUUUAGGUAGAGCCUCGGACGAAUUCCAUUGGGGGUAGAGCACUGUUAAGGCUAGGGGGUCAUCCCGACUUACCAACCCUUUGCAAACUCCGAAUACCAAUGAGAACUAUCCGGGAGACACACGGCGGGUGCUAACGUCCGUCGUGGAGAGGGAAACAACCCAGACCGCCAGCUAAGGUCCCAAAAUAUUGCUAAGUGGGAAACGAUGUGGGAAGGCACAGACAGCUAGGAGGUUGGCUUAGAAGCAGCCACCCUUUAAAGAAAGCGUAAUAGCUCACUAGUCGAGUCGGCCUGCGCGGAAGAUGUAACGGGGCUAAGCAAUAUACCGAAGCUGCGGCAGCAUGUUUACAUGCUGGGUAGGGGAGCGUUGUGUAAGUGGAUGAAGGUGAGUUGUAAAGCUUGCUGGACAUAUCACAAGUGCGAAUGCUGACAUGAGUAACGAUAAUGGGAGUGAAAAACUCCCACGCCGGAAGACCAAGGUUUCCUGUCCCAUGCUAAUCAGGGCAGGGUAAGUCGGCCCCUAAGGCGAGGCAGAAAUGCGUAGUCGAUGGGAAACGGAUUAAUAUUUCCGUACUUAUAUAAUCAGUGAUGGAGGGACGGAGAAGGCUAGGCAAGCUUGGCGUUGGUUGUCCAAGUGAAAGCGAGUAGGCCGAGAAUUUAGGUAAAUCCGGAUUCUUAAAGCUGAGACGCGAGACGAGCUCCCAAGGGAGUGAAGUUGUUGAUGCCCUGCUUCCAGGAAAAGCUUCUAAACUUAUGAUUAUAUGAACCGUACCCCAAACCGACACAGGUGGUCAGGUAGAGAAUACUAAGGCGCUUGAGAGAACUCGGGUGAAGGAACUCGGCAAAAUUGUACCGUAACUUCGGGAGAAGGUACGCCUCUGUUUGUGAACACUUCGCGUGGUAAGCAAAUGGAGGCCGCAGUGACCAGGUGGCUGGGACUGUUUAUUAAAAACACAGCACUCUGCAAACUCGUAAGAGGACGUAUAGGGUGUGACACCUGCCCGGUGCCGGAAGGUUAAUUGAUGGGGUUAGUCCUCGGACGAAGCUCUUGAUCGAAGCCCCGGUAAACGGCGGCCGUAACUAUAACGGUCCUAAGGUAGCGAAAUUCCUUGUCGGGUAAGUUCCGACCUGCACGAAUGGUGUAACCAUGGCCACGCUGUCUCCACCCGAGACUCAGUGAAAUUGAAAUCGCAGUGAAGAUGCUGUGUACCCGCACCUAGACGGAAAGACCCCGUGAACCUUUACUACAGCUUGGCACUGAACAUUGAACCUACAUGUGUAGGAUAGGUGGGAGGCUUUGAAGCACAGUCGCUAGAUUGUGUGGAGCCGUCCUUGAAAUACCACCCUUGUAUGUUUGAUGUUCUAACAUUGGCCCCUUAUCGGGGUUGUGGACAGUGUCUGGUGGGUAGUUUGACUGGGGCGGUCUCCUCCCAAAUAGUAACGGAGGAGCACGAAGGUUAGCUAAUCACGGUCGGACAUCGUGAGGUUAGUGCAAUGGCAUAAGCUAGCUUAACUGCGAGACAGACACGUCGAGCAGGUACGAAAGUAGGUCAUAGUGAUCCGGUGGUUCUGUAUGGAAGGGCCAUCGCUCAACGGAUAAAAGGUACUCCGGGGAUAACAGGCUGAUACCGCCCAAGAGUUCAUAUCGACGGCGGUGUUUGGCACCUCGAUGUCGGCUCAUCACAUCCUGGGGCUGAAGUCGGUCCCAAGGGUAUGGCUGUUCGCCAUUUAAAGUGGUACGCGAGCUGGGUUUAGAACGUCGUGAGACAGUUCGGUCCCUAUCUGGUGUGGGCGUUGGAUGAUUGAUGGGAGCUGCUCCUAGUACGAGAGGACCGGAGUGGACGAACCGCUGGUGUUCGGGUUGUCAUGCCAAUGGCAUUGCCCGGUAGCUAUGUUCGGAACGGAUAACCGCUGAAAGCAUCUAAGCGGGAAGCCGGCCCAAAGAUGAGUCAUCCCUGACCUUUAAGGUCUGGAAGGGUUGUUAUAGACGAUGACGUUGAUAGGCAGGGUGUGGAAGCGUUGUAAGGCGUUAAGCUAACCUGUACUAAUUGCCCGAGAGGCUUAACCAU